rnacentral:rRNA from 1 species
UAAGCGUACACGGUGGAUGCCCUGGCAGUCAGAGGCGAUGAAGGACGUGCUAAUCUGCGAUAAGCGUCGGUGAGGUGAUAUGAACCGUUAUAACCGGCGAUUUCCGAAUGGGGAAACCCAGUGUGUUUCGACACACUAUCAUUAACUGAAUCCAUAGGUUAAUGAGGCGAACCGGGGGAACUGAAACAUCUAAGUACCCCGAGGAAAAGAAAUCAACCGAGAUUCCCCCAGUAGCGGCGAGCGAACGGGGAGGAGCCCAGAGCCUGAAUCAGUGUGUGUGUUAGUGGAAGCGUCUGGAAAGGCGCGCGAUACAGGGUGACAGCCCCGUACACAAAAAUGCACAUAUUGUGAGCUCGA